GUGGUAGAGGAGCAUACUGCAAGGAAGAAGCCUGAUUGAGAGAGAAGGUGGACGAAGCAGUAGAGAGAAUGCCGGAAUGAGUAGCGAGAUAUAUGUGAGAACCAUAUAGGCCGAAUAUCUAAGGAUUCCUGAGUGAAGCUAAUCUACUCAGGGUAAGUCGGGACCUAAGGCGAGGACGAGAGUCGUAGUCGAUGGACAACUGGUAGAGAUUCCAGUACUAUGUAUAAUCAGAACUGUGGGGACGCAGGAGGAUAGAUGUACCGCGGAAAGGGAAGACGCGGCUAAGUACAAAGUCGAGUUUGAAAGGCAAAUCCGUCAAAUGAUGAUGAAGUACGAAAGGGACUGAAAGAAAGUAAGGAAGACAUUGAAUCCACACUGCCGAGAAAAGCCGCUAUAGAGUUAUACAUACCCGUACCGUAAACCGACACAGGUAGAUGAGGAGAAAAUCCACAGGCCGACGGGAGAAGUGUUGUUAAGGAACUCGGCAAAAUGACCCCGUAACUUAGGGAUAAGGGGAGCCACGAGAGUGGCCACAGAAAAGAGGCUCAAGCAACUGUUUAGCAAAAACACAGGUCUAUGCGAAACCGAAAGGUGAAGUAUAUGGGCUGACGCCUGCCCGGUGCUGGAAGGUUAAAAGGAGAGGUAAGCCGCAAGGCGAAGCUUUGAAUUCAAGCCCCAGUAAACGGCGGCCGUAACUAUAACGGUCCUAAGGUAGCGAAAUUCCUUGUCAGGUAAGUUCUGACCCGCACGAAAGGUGUAAUGAUUUGAGCACUGUCUCGACAACACGCCCGGUGAAAUUGAAGAACCAGUGAAGAUGCUGGUUACCCGCAACAGGACGGAAAGACCCCAUGGAGCUUUACUCCAGCCUGAUACUGGGAUUCGAUGAUGUAUGUACAGGAUAGGUGGGAGACAGAGAAGGUAGGACGCCAGUCUUGCCGGAGUCGCCGGUGGGAUACCUCUCUUACAUCAUUGGGUUUCUAACCUGCAUCCGUAAACCGGAUGAGGGACAAUGUCAGGCGGGCAGUUUGACUGGGGCGGUCGCCUCCAAAAGAGUAACGGAGGCGCUCAAAGGUCUUCUCAGAAUGAUUGGAAACCAUUCAAAGAGUGUAAAGGCAAAAGAAGGCUUGACUGCGAGGCCGACGGGCCGAGCAGGUACGAAAGUAGGACUUAGUGAUCCGGUGGUAAUACGUGGGAAUGCCAUCGCUCAACGGAUAAAAGCUACCCUGGGGAUAACAGGCUGAUCUCCCCCAAGAGUUCACAUCGACGGGGAGGUUUGGCACCUCGAUGUCGGCUCAUCGCAUCCUGGGGCUGAAGUAGGUCCCAAGGGUUGGGCUGUUCGCCCAUUAAAGCGGUACGCGAGCUGGGUUCAGAACGUCGUGAGACAGUUCGGUCCCUAUCCGUUGUGGGCGCAGGAAAUUUGAGAGGAGCUGUCCUUAGUACGAGAGGACCGGGAUGGACGAACCGCUGGUGUAUCUGUUGUCAUACCAAAUGCACGGCAGAGUAGCUAAGUUCGGAACGGAUAAACGCUGAAGGCAUCUAAGCGUGAAGCCGCCC
rnacentral:rRNA from 1 species